rnacentral:lncRNA from 1 species
AAAAAAAUUCCUAUGGACUUCCUUAAACAGCAAACUCAUCUGAGGCAUCUCAAUAUGAUUUCAGUUUUUAAAAUCCCACAAGUUUCUCCUCUUGAGGAAACCCUAUGCCAUGCAUCUGCUUGUGCUUUGCCCCUUGUUUAAAGCAUGUAGUCAGUGAGCAGAAUGCUUCAGCCACUGCUUGCUCCAGAUUGUGAUAAACACUCCUGGCAUGCUCCCUGGGAGACUGUGCUAGCUUUCUGCCUUUGCCUUCCUUUUCCCUGCACUUCCCUGACUUCCUUCUGGCUAUAAUACAUUAACAGGGACUCCAGGCCACUCACACCCAGAAGGAUAGAAGUCAGUCACCCUGUCUACACACACACUGUGCUCACCUCCUGAACUCUGGACUGAGUUUCUCUGGGGACAGACUUUGGUCUGAGAAUUUAGUGCCUACACCCAGGUCCCCCAGUCCUCUUCUCAGCUAAACUCCUUGAAUUUGUUUUUUAUUUUGUUUUUCUAAGCUGAUCGUACCCUAUUUUUCAUACUCCUAGGGACAGUGUCUUCAUUAAUAAUAAUGAUGGUGAUAAUAAUGAUGAUAAUAACAACAACAACCAUAUUAGAAAGGAAAAAUAUUGAAACUUGCUUCCAUCCCAUUCGAAUAGAGGACUUUUCCAUACCACCUUCAGGGAGUUAUUUGGUCCUUCCAAGGAAAAGAAGAUGAAAGUAAAAAUGGCCUAAGACCAGCAGUCUAGGAAGACAAGAGACUGGAGCUGUGUUUUGCUUUUAAAGUGAUCUCUAAAAAGUAUUUUUAUCUGUCUGCCCAUCCAUCCACCCAUCCAUCGGUCUAUUUGUGUGACAGUGUCUAUGUGAGUCUAUGUCACGUAUGCGCUUUGGAUCUUCUGGAACUGGAGUUACAAGAUUCCAGGAAUGAGCCACCGUCCACAUCCAUAUGCCUACUCUUCACCAGCUAUUACAAACUACUAAAAAAGUACAGGUAGAUCUUAUAAAAGAGAAGUACAGUGAAGAGAAGUGUGGUGGCUUGCCCAAAAGACGACACAGUUCUGGGAGAGCAUGCCACCUCAGGCUUUUUGCAUUGUUUUUGUUGUUGAUAAUGAUGUUUAUUUUAUUUUUUGUACCUUUGAAAGCCUGUCUUUUGCUGGUCACAAGAUUGUUCUGAGAAGUAUAUAAAAUACAAAAAGUAUUUUCAAGCAUUCUAAAGCCCAGAGUCAGCAUCUACAGCAUAGAGUUCAGGGAAGAGAGAGUAGAACUGUUCCUGACAGGUCGCAUGUCUUAAGAGUUCAGCAUGGUACAGUCAUAUUAAGCUGGUUUAUAACAACUUGAAGGACUGGAGUUACCAGGACCUACUCAGUGUCUGUUCCCUGUAAGGUGCCCUUGCUAAGACCCCAUCUGUAAUUGCAGGUU